rnacentral:rRNA from 1 species
AUUUGUCUGGUUAAUUCCGAUAACGAACGAGACCUUAACCUGCUAACUAGAUACUUUUAUUCUAUAAAUGUCAUCUUCUUAGAGGGACUAUGUAAUUAAAAUACAUGGAAGUUUGAGGCAAUAACAGGUCAGUGAUGCCCUUAUAUGUCCUGGGCUGCACGCGUGCUACACUGAUGCAUACAACAAGUGCCCAACCAGACAUGGUACGGCAAUCUCGAAUAUGCAUCGUGAUGGGGAUAGAUCUUUGCAAUUAUAGAUCUUGAACGAGGAAUUCCUAGUAAGUGCAAGUCAUCAUCUUGCAUUGAUUAUGUCCCUGCCCUUUGUACACACCGCCCGUCGCUCCUACCGAUACCGGGUGAUCCGGUGAACCCUUUGGACUCAUCUGAGAAAGAUAAGUAAACCAUAUCACCUAGAGGAAGGAGAAGUCGUAACAAGGUUUCCGUAGGUGAACCUGCRGAAGGAUCA